rnacentral:rRNA from 1 species
AUUGAACGCUGGCGGCAGGCCUAACACAUGCAAGUCGAGCGGAUGAAGGGAGCUUGCUCCUGGAUUCAGCGGCGGACGGGUGAGUAAUGCCUAGGAAUCUGCCUGGUAGUGGGGGAUAACGUCCGGAAACGGGCGCUAAUACCGCAUACGUCCUGAGGGAGAAAGUGGGGGAUCUUCGGACCUCACGCUAUCAGAUGAGCCUAGGUCGGAUUAGCUAGUUGGUGGGGUAAAGGCCUACCAAGGCGACGAUCCGUAACUGGUCUGAGAGGAUGAUCAGUCACACUGGAACUGAGGCACGGUCCAGACUCCUACGGGAGGCAGCAGUGGGGAAUAUUGGACAAAGGGCGAAAGCCUGAUCCAGCCAUGCCGCGUGUGUGAAGAAGGUCUUCGGAUUGUAAAGCACUUUAAGUUGGGAGGAAGGGCAGUAAGUUAAUACCUUGCUGUUUUGACGUUACCAACAGAAUAAGCACCGGCUAACUUCGUG